rnacentral:rRNA from 1 species
UACGGAGGAUCCGAGCGUUAUCCGGAUUUAUUGGGUUUAAAGGGUGCGCAGGCGGGAGAUUAAGUCGGCGGUGAAAUUUCGCAGCUCAACUGUAAAAGUGCCUUCGAAACUGGUUUCCUUGAGUGUGGAUGAAGUAGGCGGAAUUUGUGGUGUAGCGGUGAAAUGCAUAGAUAUCACGAGGAACUCCGAUUGCGCAGGAAGCUUACUAAACCAUAACUGACGCUCAGGCACGAAGGCGUGGGGAUCAAACAGGAUUAGAUACCCCCGUAGUCCCU